rnacentral:ribozyme from 1 species
GUUGUGCGAUAGACUUACCUCCACGUGGUGCACAAUGGGCAACGUUUAAUCAUACGGCGAAAACGCCUUU